UUUCAUUUUCAUAUAUUUUGUUUCAAAAAACACUAACCAAACCAGAUUGUUCACAACGAUUGCAGAAUGUUUAUUUAGUUUUGGUCGCCAAAUCACGCUAGGUACAAAACCACACAAGGCAGAUAUACGAUGACAACAUGUCGACACACACACUCGUGGCGACGCACAUAUCCACACACGAGAAGCAUAGGCUGAUCGGUUUGACAGCUAGCCUAUUCGUACAAUCUGGUCGCCAGGGUU